rnacentral:rRNA from 1 species
GUGAGGAAUAUUGGACAAUGGGCGCAAGCCUGAUCCAGCCAUGCCGCGUGCAGGAAGACGCAUCUAUGGUGUGUAAACUGCUUUUGUACGGGAAGAAACACUCCCUCGUGAGGGAGCUUGACGGUACCGUAAGAAUAAGGAUCGGCUAACUCCGUGCCAGCAGCCGCGGUAAUACGGAGGAUCCAAGCGUUAUCCGGAAUCAUUGGGUUUAAAGGGUCCGUAGGCGGUUUAAUAAGUCAGUGGUGAAAGCCCAUCGCUCAACGAUGGAACGGCCAUUGAUACUGUUAGACUUGAAUUACAAGGAAAUAACUAGAAUAUGUAGUGUAGCGGUGAAAUGCUUAGAUAUUACAUGGAAUACCAAUUGCGAAGGCAGGUUACUACUUGUGGAUUGACGCUGAUGGACGAAAGCGUGGGGAGCGAACAGGAUUAGAUACCCGUGUAGUCC